rnacentral:rRNA from 1 species
AGUGAACGCUGGCGGUAGGCCUAACACAUGCAAGUCGAACGGCAGCACAGGAGAGCUUGCUCUCUGGGUGGCGAGUGGCGGACGGGUGAGGAAUACAUCGGAAUCUACUCUGUCGUGGGGGAUAACGUAGGGAAACUUACGCUAAUACCGCAUACGACCUACGGGUGAAAGCAGGGGACCUUCGGGCCUUGCGCGAUUGAAUGAGCCGAUGUCGGAUUAGCUAGCUGGCGGGGUAAAGGCCCACCAAGGCGACGAUCCGUAGCUGGUCUGAGAGGAUGAGCAGCAACACUGGAACUGCAGCAGGGUCCAGACUCCUACGGGUGGCGGCAGUGUGGAAUCUCGGACACUGGACGCGAGGCUGAACCAGCCAUACCGCGUGGGUGAAGAAGGCAUUCGGGUUGUAAAGCCCUUUUGUUGGGAAAGAAAUCCAGCUGGCUAAUACCCGGUUGGGGUGACGGUACCCAAAGAAUAAGCACCGGCUACCUUCGUGCCAGCCGCCGCGGUAA